rnacentral:rRNA from 1 species
UAGGGAAUCUUCGGCAAUGGACGAAAGUCUGACCGAGCAACGCCGCGUGAGUGAAGAAGGCUUUCGGAUCGUAAAACUCUGUUGUUAGAGAAGAACAAGGACGUUAGUAACUGAACGUCCCCUGACGGUAUCUAACCAGAAAGCCACGGCUAACUACGUGCCAGCAGCCGCGGUAAUACGUAGGUGGCAAGCGUUGUCCGGAUUUAUUGGGCGUAAAGCGAGCGCAGGCGGUUUCUUAAGUCGGAUGUGAAAGCCCCCGGCUCAACCGGGGAGGGUCAUUGGAAACUGGGGGACUUGAGUGCAGAAGGGGAGAGGGGAAUUCCAUGUGUAGCGGUGAAGUGCGUAGAUAUAGGGAGGAACACCAGUGGCGAAGGCGGCUCUCUGGUCUGUAACGGACGGUGGGGCUCGAAAGCGUGGGGAGCAAACAGG